rnacentral:rRNA from 1 species
AUUGAACGCUGGCGGCAGGCCUAAACACGAUGCAAGUCGAGCGGUAACAUUUCUAGCUUGCUAGAAGAUGACGAGCGGCGGACGGGGUGAGUAAUGCUUGGAAAUCUGCCUGGUAGUGGGGGACAACAGUUGGAAACGACUGCUAAUACCGCAUAACGUUUACGGACCAAAGCGGGGGACCUUCGGGCCUCGUGCCAAAAGAUUAGCCCAAGUGAGAUUAGCUAGUUGGUGGGUAAAGGCCUACCAAGGCGACGAUCUCUAGCUGGUUUGAGAGGAUGAUCAGCCACACUGGGACUGAGACACGGCCCACGACUCCUACGGGAGGCAGCAGUGGGGAAUAUUGCAC